UGUGGGUGGGCCUCAUCCAGUCAGUUGAAGGCCUUAAUAUAAAAAGACUGACCUCCCCAGAAGAAGACCGAGACUUCCAGCAGACUGCGUGUGAACUCGAAUUGAUACAACCCAGGAACAGCCCAAUGAAGAGAUAUAUAGGGUGAGGUCUGAGAGAGUCUUGAACACAGAGCUUCUGUGCCCGGUCCUUGUAGAAUCAGGGCACGUAACCUACCCAGGACAUCAAUGUGUUCACCAGCCAGUCUCCGGAGUUCACUAAUCUGGGAGUCUGCAACUCAUAGUGUGUAUGGCCAAGAGUUUUCUGGAGAAAUGCCAGGCAUGGCUGAAGCAUCAACUUUCUGACUACUGGGGGGAAAAGCAGCCCUCACUGCCACCAUCGUUCAUAAAAACUCUGGAAUUUGUUUGCACAAAGAGCUCAUUGAGAGCUGACAGGUCUGCUACAGCCAUUCCUUUAUUCCCAUGGAGGAAGCGUCAGGAAAACCAGCCGUCCUCCUUGUGCCAUUUCUGCAAAUGCAGCAUUCGAAAGCCUGCGCCUUGUGGGUGAUCAGCAGGCCUGGCUUCCCAAAGGGGUGGAGGCGACAGAGCGAGUCUGGGGAGAGAGCCCAAGACUUGAGUCAGGGCCUAACUCUGCCAACUGAGACAAGCCACUGAGCCACCAUCUCACCUACAGGAAGCUUGUGUUAAUCAGCUGAGAAAAUGGAGGUGAAAUUGCUGUGUGGAUUCAGAAUCUCUUCACAAAUGCCGGCGACCCUGCCCUCCCUCCCUCAAGUCUUCCCCGUAGUCCCAGGAUUUCUGUCGACAGAAAAGCAAUCUUUAUUUGCUCUCUUCUUGUUUGGAUUCUUUUAAAAUGCAAGCACCUCCUAGAAGGCAUAAUACAUCAAAGUAAUCCCUACUAAACACAUGGGGCUUCCCACACGCUUUCUUUCUCUCCAGAGGGAUCAGGUGGCUAAGGAUGGAUAAUGACAAGAGAUGACUAAAAUGUUGGGAAAAGUCAUUUUAAAAAGGAGGAAUGCCCACUGAAUAAUAGAAUUGUAAUAGCCUUGCAGAUUAUAAGGAUCAGUGGUUUUUGAAGUAAAAUCUUAGGCAGGUUUCUUUUACAUAAAACAGAAAAAAAAAAACUUCUCACUCACCAUCACAGCCUCAGGCUGAUGCCUCUGCAACUCAAAAGGCCCCUCUGCGGGAUCCCAGGGCUCCGAGGAACAGAGUUCUAAAACCUCUACUUACCCUUUACCUUAUAUACUGGAGGCCAGUGGCCUCCCAGAAGAGAGAUGGAAAUAUAGCCACUCUCCUAAUCUAGUGCUCAUGGCUCUACAUAAGAACAAAAUAACAAAAAUGAACAUGUGAAGUCUUACUAUAUGCCAGGCUCUUGGCUAAAUUACGUGCAUUAUCUGAUUUAAUCUCUAAACCUUUGUGAAGCAGAUACUGUUUUCCAGAUGAGGAAACUGAGGAUUAGAGAGGGUAAAAAACUCGGUAAGAGGGGCUGGCACGGUGGCAUAGUGGUUGGGUUCACAUGUUCCGCUUUGGGUCUCAGGGUUCUGGGUUUGGAUCCUGGGCGCAGACCUACACACCGCUCAUCAAGCCAGGCUGUAGCGAUGACCCACAAACAAAAUAGAGGAGGAUUUGCACAGAUGUUAACUCAGGGACAUCUUCCUCACCAAAAAACAAACAAACGAACGAACAAAAACUCAGUAAGAAACUCAGCCUGAGGCCUGUGUGGCUCUAGGACUGAUAUUCUUAACUCCGUGCUCUAGUGCCUCCCGUCAUAUUGUUUCCCUGAAGAAAAUUUGUAUUUGUCUCUUUCUGAGACACCACAAAUGUCAUCUAGAAUUUCUGUAGAUUCUAGAUUUGGAUUUCAAUAGAGAUUUGUCUGCAACACACAUUGUCUUCAGUCUGGAUUUAUGUUUUAGAAGAGGGAGAGUUUGAAUUAAAACAGAAAGUUCGUUUAUGGGUGUAACAAGUAAGUGAGCCUGCAGUCUUAGGCACAAGAUGAGCUUCUAUUUUCCUCCUGUGUUGCCAGCUCUGGAUCAUUAUUUUUUUCUUUUCAAAUUUAGCAUAGCUUACUGAAUAAAAGAAGAGGGGAAAAGUUGACAUACUGCAACAAAUAAAAUACCCUACCUUAAAGUCUGAAAUUCAGAUGGGAAAAUUACUCUGCAAAGCAAAAUAACAUUGAGUCCAUUAAAAAAAACCCAAACCUUAGCUCAUCAUGGAAAAUUUUAAGUGCUCUCUGACAGAGAGAAAGAGAAGGAAAAAAACCAAAUGAAUAAGGACAUUCUUUUUUCAGUUUAAACAGCGUCAGAGAAAGAAGUGAAAAAUAUUUGAUUCUCUCACUGGCAGGAACAGACAACCAUUUUCGUAUUAGUCACCAGUGAAGUCAUUAUUCAUUUGGUUCUGACAGCUACAGAAUUAUAAAAAUAAUAGUAUUUUAGAACUCUGAAAAUUCUACCCAACGAUAAGCCAGCCUUCCCUAGAGACAGGAAGAUGGGAAAAUGGAGCAACUGACAGACAGGCAGCGUGUGCUGAUUUUAAUGGGUUGUCUGUCUCAUUCGUGUUCAUUUGCAAGAGCUCUUUGUUUGUCAGAGACACUAACACUUAACUUUGCACUACAAAUUUUUUUGAAGCAUAUUUUUUUGUCAGUUGAUUUUUUACCUGGCACAUUUUCCAGAUACAGUUUUUUCGUUUAUUUAUGUUCACAUAUGUCUGCCUUUUUAAAAAUAGCUUUUGGGAUUCCAGACUCAAUUAGGAAGGUGUUCCUCAUCUCUACAUUGUACAUGCUCUAGCUUUUCUUACACUAUUUUUUUGUUUUAGUUUACAUUUGAACCUUUAUUCUUUAUGCAAUUCGUAUCAUUUUGUAUUUUGUAGCAUACAAGUCUACUUUUAUUUUUCGUGACUUGAUAGUUGUGUUAGCAUCAUUGAUUGAAGUAUCCAUUCUUAUCUCCUUGAGUUGAAAUAGCACUUUCUUUUUUUUUUGCAAUUUUCCACAAUGCCUCUUUGUUUUCUUUUCUGUUUUUUUCUUUUGUGAGGAAGAUCAGCCCUGAGCUAACGUCCAUGCUAAUCCUCUUUUUGCUGAGGAAGACCGGCUCUGAGCUAACAUCUAUUGCCAAUCCUCCUCCUUUUUGUUCCCCAAAGCCCCAGUAGAUAGUUGUAUGUCAUAGUUGCACAUCCUGCUAGUUGCUGUAUGUGGGAGCGGCCUCAGCGUGGCUGGACAAGCGGUGCAUGGGUGUGAGCCUGGGAUCUGAACCUGGGCCACCAGUAGUGAAGCAUGCACACUUAACCGCUAAGCCACGGGCAGGCCCUGAAAUAGCACUUUUGUCAAGUGUUAAGUUUCCAUAUUUACUGAGAUAUCUUUCUGGAUUCUCUAUUCUGUUCCACUAAUCUAUUUAUUUCUCUACAAUACUCUACUGAUUUUACUAUAGCGGCUUUAAAUGUUCUCCCUACCCCUUACUAUUCUUCUUUUGCAUACAUUCUUAGCUAUUCUUGGGCAUUUAUUCUUUCAUAACAAUUUUAAGACUCCUAUUUGUGUUUGUGGUAGACGGACUAUUGCCCUCCCCCGAGUAUGUCCACCUCGUAAUCCCUGGAACCUGUAAAUUUUAUUUUGUCUGGCAAAAGGGACUUUGUAGAUGUGAUUAAGUUAAGGAUUUUGAGAUGGAGUGAUGAUCCUGAAUUAUCCUGUGGAUCCAAUGUCAUCACAAAAAUCCUUAUAAGGGGGACACAGAAGGAGUCAGAGUCAGAAGAGAAGGCAAUGUGAUAACAGGAGCAGAGAUUGGAGUGAUGUGCUUUGAAGAUAGAAGAAGGGGCCACAAGCCAAGGAAUACAGGUGGCCACAAGAAGCUGAAAAAAGCUGGAAAAUGGAUUCUCUCUUCAAAGCCUCCAGAAACAACCAGCCCUGCCCAUACCUUGACUUUAGCCCUGUGAAACUGAUUUUAGACUUUUACCUUCAGAACUGUAAGAGAAUAAUUGUGCUUUGUUUUAAGCCACUAAAUUUGUGGUAAUUUGUUAUAGCAGCAAUAGGAAAAUAAUACAGUGUUGCAAUAGAAAUGACACUAAAUUUAUAUAUUAAUUUUGUGAAAACUAACAUUUCUACAGUGUUAGUCUUCUCAUUCAAGAACAUAAUCUCUCACAGAUUAGUAGUUACCAGAGGGGAAGAGGGUGGGGGUGGGCUGGGUGAAAGGCAUAA